rnacentral:rRNA from 1 species
UACAGAGGGUGCGAGCGUUAAUCGGAAUGACUGGGCGUAAAGGGCAUGUAGGCGGUUAUGUUAGUCUGAUGUGAAAUACCCGGGCUUAACCUGGGAUAUGCGUUGGAAACGGCAUAGCUAGAGUAUGGGAGAGGGAAGUGGAAUUUCCGGUGUAGCGGUGAAAUGCGUAGAGAUCGGAAAGAACACUCGUGGCGAAGGCGGCUUUCUGGCCCAUAACUGACGCUGAGGUGCGAAAGCAUGGGGAGCAAAC